UACGUAGGGUGCGAGCGUUAAUCGGAAUUACUGGGCGUAAAGAGCGCGCAGGCGGUCGUCCAAGUCGCGUGUGAAAGCCCCCGGCUCAACUGGGGAGGGUCACGCGAUACUGAUCGACUCGAAGGCAGGAGAGGGAAGCGGAAUUCCCGGUGUAGUGGUGAAAUGCGUAGAUAUCGGGAGGAACACCAGUGGCGAAGGCGGCUUCCUGGCCUGUUCUUGACGCUGAGGCGCGAAAGCUAGGGUAGCAAACGGG
rnacentral:rRNA from 1 species